CGGGUGGGCGGGGCCGCGCGCGCUCGCGGGCUCGAGUACGGCGAGGUCCUGGGACCGACUCUGUAGUCCAGCGUGGGAUGACCGUGCCCCGGAAACAUGCCAGUGAAUGGAAAGAAGCCAAGGUCCCCUCCCUCCCUGCUGAUACCCUCGACUUUGCCAAUGAGGACCCUAAAUACCAGCUCCACUACAGGGGUUGUAACUACAUACACCCUCACCAAAGUUGCAGCCUGGCCAGGAAAUGCCAGGGGACUUUGCGACGAUUGCAGACUCCGCGGUGACUGUGUAGAUACGUCCAGAAUUCGCCCGUGUAGCGCGGGGAGAGGCGAGAGUGAAGGCCUAGAAAGCUAUCCGGUAGGCUAGAGAUACAGAUCCAUGGACAUUUGUCUUCCUCUCUGCACCAGAUCCAGACCAGGCUGUUGGAGGUGAGUUUCUUUUGGCACUGUUUGUCCAUUAGUUUCUUUGGCUGUAUCCCAAGGAAAAGCUGGAUUUCAGUUCUCACUGAUUCCCACCUACUUCAGUUCUCAACUUGUAUCCAUCCUGUAGGAGUUUAUUACUACUACUACUACUACUAUUAUUAUUAUUAUUACUACUAUUAUUAUUUUGAGAUGGAGUCUCCUCUCUGUCACCCAGGCUGGAGUGCAGUGGCACGAUCUUGGCUCACUGUAACCUCCGCCUCCUGGGUUCAAACUAUCCUUCCGCCUCAGCCUCCCGAGUAGCUGGGAAUACAGGCCCACACCACCAUGACUGGCUAAUUUUUGUAUUUUUAGUAGAGAUGGGGUUUUGCCAUGUUGCCCAGGCUGGUCUCAAACUCCUGACCUCAAGUGAUCUGCCCACCUUGGCCUCCAAAAGUGCUGGGAUUACUGAUGUGAGCCACCAUGCUGGGCUGCAUCCUGCAGGAGUUUAGAGAAGUGUAAUGAUGUUUCAUCUGCUUGUUACUGUUCCUCCUCUCUCCCAUCCUUCAACCAACUGCCCAUAGUUAUUUGCACUAUUAUUGUUAGGAGGUAAUUGUGCCUGCAUGGUUAACCACCCAGCAGCCUGUGCUGAGAUCUGUGGGCUGCAUGUGAACAUGAGCUGCCAUCAGCAUGAGGUGGCAGACACCCAGUCUUGGCUGUGAGCACACCUGGCACAGAAGGCUUCUCUGUCACAUGAAGACCAGCUGACUUAUCUGUAAUAAGCCUGCUGGAGGUGGUGGAGCUCAGACCAGGCUGCUUGUGGGUUUGGAACUAAUGGCAAAACCAUUCUUGAAGUUUGGCAGGACACAUGCAAAGAAACAGCUACUUCUCAGCCCGUAAAGCAUUUGCAUUGCCUUCAGGAAUUUGAAAGUUUUUACUGUGGACCUGAGAGGGGUUUGGGCACCAGAAAUAAAAUCUACUUCAAGCAUGCCUCUAAAUGAUAAAAUUCUUUUUUUUUUUUUUUUUUUUUUUUGUGUGACAGAAUCUUUCUCUGUUCCCCAGGCUGGAGUGCAGUGGCACGAUCUCUGCUCACUGCAAACUCCACCUCCCAGGUUCACGCCAUUCUCCUGCUUCAGCCUCCUGAGUAGCUGGGACUACAGGCGCCCACCACCACACCUGGCUAAUUUUUUAUAUUUUUAGUAAAGACAGGGUUUCACCUUGUUAGCCAGGAUGGAGUCGAUCUCCUGACCUCGUGAUCCGCCCACCUUGGCCUCCCAAAGUGCUGGGAUUACAGGAGUGAGCCACCGUGCCCGGCCUAAAUGAUAAAAUUCUUGAUUUAACGUUGGCAUUUUGAGCUAUUUGAAAGAAUAAACUAGGAAUGACUAGUUUGACUAGUCAUUCUAGGAAGUGCAUAUGGUGAAAGACCUCCACAAGGGGUGGGACGCCAUUGGUGUCCUUCCAAGGAAUUUCAACCAAGUCUGUGAUGCACUGGGUAAUCUGCACACUACCCUUUAAUGCGGUGUUAGGAAAUAUUCAGAUUAAGAGCAAGAAAGGCUCACUGAAACACAUUUGUAUACAUUUGCAUUUUGUGUUGAAUUGUUAUGAUUAAAUUAUUACAAUGUUCGUUGAGACAAGUGAGGAAAAAAAAAGAGUUUAAAAUGCCCAUAAUCCCACUACUCCUAAAUCCUCUCUGCUAUAGUUUCAAUGUGUUCCCCAAAGUCCAUGAGUUAGAAACUUGAUGGUGUUGGGGCCUAAUGGGAGGAGUUUGGUCAUGGGGGUGGAUCCAUCACAAAUAGAUUAAUGCCGUUAUUACAUUAUUGCAGGAGUGGGUUCCUUAUAAAAGGAAGAAUUUGGCCUCCUCUUGCUCUCUUGCUCAUUCUCCCUCUCCCUCCCCACGCCCCUUCUCUCUCUAUCAC
rnacentral:lncRNA from 1 species